rnacentral:lncRNA from 1 species
AGUAGCAGCCCUGCUCCUCGUACCCGGCGUCUGCACUAGUGACUCUUCCUCCUUGUCUUUACCUGGCCAAAAGCAAUUUGAGAAAGGAAGGGUUGAUUUGGGAUUACAGCCCAUUAGGCAUGACAACAAGAGCAUCAGACAGCUUGUCACAGUGUGUACAGUGAGGAAGAGAGUUCACCAUCACAGAUCAGAGAAGCUGAAGAGAUAUUUCUCCAAGGGACAACGACUAACAAUGAUUGGGGGAGGGGGUUCAAUUUCACCAAUCAAAAGGGAAAUGGAAAUUAAAACUAUGAGACGCCACAUUGUACCUGUUGGAAAGCCCCGAAGAUGAGUGUUGGCAAGGGGGUGGAGAAUAGGGAUCCCUUAAUCAUU